rnacentral:sRNA from 1 species
UGUCGCUGCCCUCCUUGGGCGUUUCCUCCCUAGACUUGGGCCGCGCAUCAGCGCGGCCUUCUUUCUUUUUAGGG